rnacentral:rRNA from 1 species
AUACGGAGGGUGCAAGCGUUACUCGGAAUCACUGGGCGUAAAGCGCGCGCAGGCGGCUUGAUAAGUUGGAUGUGAAAGCCUACGGCUCAACCGUAGAACUGCAUCCAAAACUGUCAGGCUAGAGUGUGGGAGAGGAAGAUGGAAUUAGUUGUGUAGGGGUAAAAUCCGUAGAGAUAACUAGGAAUACCAAGAGCGAAGGCAAUCUUCUGGAACACUACUGACGCUGAGGCGCGAAGGCGUGGGGAGCAAACAGGAUUAGAAACCCCAGUAGUCC